rnacentral:rRNA from 1 species
GAUGAUCGCUGGCGGUGUGCUUAACACAUGCAAGUCGAACGGUGAAGGCGGAGCUUGCUCUGCUGGAUCAGUGGCGAACGGGUGAGUAACACGUGUGCAAUCUGCCCCUGACUCUGGGAUAAGCGCUGGAAACGGCGUCUAAUACUGGAUACGAGCUGCCAAGGCAUUUUCAGCAGCUGGAAAGAAUUUCGGUCAGGGAUGAGCUCGCGGCCUAUCAGCUAGUUGGUGAGGUAAUGGCUCACCAAGGCGUCGACGGGUAGCCGGCCUGGGAGGGUGACCGGCCACACAGGGACGGAGACACGGCCCAGCCUCCUACGGGAGGCAGCAGUGCGGGAUAUUGCACGAUGGGCGAAGGCCUGAUGCAACAACGCCGCGUGGGGGACGACGGCCUUCGGGAUAUAAACCUCUUUUAGCAGGGAAGAAGCGAAAGUGGCGGUACCUGCGGAAAGAGCGCCGGCUAACUACGUG